rnacentral:rRNA from 1 species
UACGAAGGGUGCUAGCGUUGUUCGGAAUUACUGGGCGUAAAGCGCGCGUAGGCGGUCAUUCAAGUCAGAGGUGAAAGCCCUGGGCUCAACCCAGGAAUUGGCUUUGAAACUGUAUGACUUGAGUGUCGGAGGGGAUAGCGGAAUUGCUAAUGUAGAGGUGAAAUUCGUAGAUAUUAGCAGGAACACCGGUGGCGAAGGCGGCUAUCUGGACGACAACUGACGCUGAGGCGCGAAAGCGUGGGGAUCAAACAGG